GAGCGCGAGACAAGACGGGACAUCCUACAAAGCCUAACAUUUCUGCCAGUAUUACAGAAUGGACAGCUUAGGAUACCACACGGAGGGGAGUGAAGGAGCCUUGGGGAUGCCUGAAGGAGGGGCAGUGAAGGAGGGAGGCCUGGAGGUGAAGGAAAUGCAGAAAAUUCCUCUAAUACUGAGCGCUUCUCUGGUCAGACCAUCCUUCACUGAAUAUUUGGACCGAGGCUUCAAGAUACGAGUGAGCCAGGCGACCCUCCAGAACAGCGCCAUCCUGCCUACUUGUGGUGUAGCAUCCCUGAUCGUACCCCUCCCUCCUCCUCCUCCUCCUCCUCCUCCUCCAGCAAAGAAGAGACCUUUGACCAGCUGGUGGACAGGGUCCGCGCCUUUAGCCGAGUACACGCGGGGGGCGUUGUAAUACUGGUGGGUGCUGUGUUUGGCAUGGAGGAGGUGAACGGGGUGUUGGGGAAGUUAUCAAGGAGGUUACUACCACGCCCUCCCCUGCUACUGCCUGCCCACGGGGAAGCCCAGGCUGCCGCGCACAUACAACUACUGGCAAAGAAGUAGCGGCGGGGCUGGAAGUGGGCGGGAGUUUAGCAGGCUUCGCUAAGAUUGGGCUGGAAGUUAACGGAGGAGGAGGAGGCGCGGCACGUGACAAUGCAAUACAGGGCUUACAGAGGGCAGGCGUGACUGGGCCCUGCCUCGCCGCCCUUGUCAACACCUUAGAGAGAGAUACGCUCACCUUGUAGAGAGAGAGAGAGAGAGAGAGAGAGAGAGAGAGAGAGAGAGAGAGAGAGAGAGAGAGAGAGAGAGAGAGAGAGAGAGAGGAUAUAUUUUAAUUUUCUUUCGUUAUAUAUUCAAUUUAUUUAUUUAUUUAUUAUUUUAACGGUUAUUUUCUUUUCUCUAUUUUUCGUUUCGUUUUUUUUUUAUGGAAUGUUGAAUUUUACCUAUAUUUGUUUACAUUUUUUUUUAUCAAUUUCUUUCGAUUUUAUAUUCAGUUAAUUCAUUUAUCUUUAUUGUUUUAAGACCAUUUAUUUAUUUUAUUUAUUUUUUCGUUCAUUUUCAUAAUGGGAAUAUUUACUUUUAUAUAUAUUUUUCAAUUAUUUUUCAUUUCUUCGAUUUAAGUGUGUCUAAGUACUUGCAAGGAUCAUUUAUUUAUUUAUUUACUUUUAUUUUCCGUCCGUUUUUAUUUAUUUAUUUAUUUAUUUAUUUAUCUUUUUUUAUAAUGGAAACUUAUUUCAUCUUUUUUCCCGUUUUCUGUUACUUGUUCAUGCCAGGGGUGACAAUAAACAUUAAGAUUA